ACAUCAUCACAUAGAUGAUAAGUCACGUAAUUGCAGCACUGAGCAAGUGUCUUGGAGAUCUUAGCUGGAGCUUUCUGAGAUGGGCAGGGUGAUACUAAAACUGCCUCUCAUGGACAGGGAUCCUGACCGGAGGCACAGUGACUUGCUUAGGACCAUGUGUCGCAGCUCUGUCUGCAAUGCAGUCACACUGCAGUGUCCAACUUUGAUGCAGAGAGGUAUGGUUUCUUUAACUUGGCUUGCUAGGGUGCUGCUGGCAUUGAAGUGUAGCAAGGCUGCCUGUCUGGCUGUUUAGCUACCAUCUCAGCUGACUUUUGCAUCCAGUGUUAAGCUCCGCCACAAUGUCUGAGCUGGUGAGAGGCUGAGCCAAAAUCAGCACCUGUAUUCUUCUUUCUUUUGGCCAGGCCAUCCCAUACAAACCUUAAUGUAUUUGGGUCCUGGGAGAUGCCUUGGUGUUUGGGUGCUGGAUGGAGAUGCAGCACUGCAGAGGGAUUUUGGUUUGUCUCGUCUUGAACUGGAGCUGGUGAACGGAGUCCUGAAGAUCCCAGGUCAUUUCCUUCCACAGAUAGAGAGAAGAAAACCAGUUGUGGUGUGCACAGUGCAGGAGACUGAAGGGGAUGCCCGCGGCUCUCUGCAGAGAGAGUCUUCCUCUGAAGAAGUCCCCCGGCAGCAAGUGGCUGCAGGGAGAACACAGGUGAGGGAAGGGACCCACAGGCGGGAGGAUCGCCACUCCGUUUCCACUCGCUUCUUGGCUGCCCUGCAUUUUGGAGCAGCUGACUCAAGAGGGCAGCAAGCCGACGGGCUGCCACCGGCUCCAGCGGCCAGCCCUGCCCCACUGGAUCCCACCGACGGCCUCCACGCCCGGGAGGGCUGCGUGUCGGAGGAAUUCGCUGGGAUGACG
rnacentral:lncRNA from 1 species